rnacentral:piRNA from 1 species
UGAUAUGACACGUUUACAACAGAUGGCCUG